rfam:TPA: Bos taurus chromosome 8, whole genome shotgun sequence.
UUGAAAUCAUUUGUACAUAAGACUCCUACACGAGGUACAGGUACACCUGUCAAGUGGUAAUGUAGGUGUCCUAAGGUGAGCUCAGGGAGGACAGAGACCUCCCGUGGAGCAGAAGGGCAAAAGCGUGCUUGAUAUUGACUUUCAGUAUGAAUACAGACCAUGAAAGUGGGGCCUCCCGAUCCUUCUGAUCUUUGGGGUUUUAAGCAGGAGGUGUCAGAAAA